AGGGUUUGAUCCUGGCUCAGAACGUACGCUGGCGGCACGCCUAACACAUGCAAGUCGAACGAAGUAGCAAUACUUAGUGGCAGACGGGUGAGUAACAUGUAGGUAUCUGCCCUUUGGCCUGGAAUAACACGAGGAAACUUGUGCUAAUACCGGAUAAGUCUUUACGGAGAAAGCUUUAUGCACCAUUGGAUGAGCCUGCACUUGAUUAGUUAGUUGGUAGGGUAAAAGCCUACCAAGACUUUGAUCAAUAGCUGAUUUGAGAGGAUGAUCAGCCACAUUGGGACUGAGACACGGCCCAAACUCCUACGGGAGGCAGCAGUGGGGAAUCUUGCACAAUGGAGGAAACUCUGAUGCAGCGAUGCCGCGUGAGUGAAGAAGGCCCUUGGGUUGUAAAGCUCUUUCGUCGGGGAAGAAAAUGACUGUACCCGAAUAAGAAGGUCCGGCUAACUUCGUGCCAGCAGCCGCGGUAAUACGAAGGGACCUAGCGUAGUUCGGAAUUACUGGGCUUAAAGAGUUCGUAGGUGGUUGAAAAAGUUGGUGGUGAAAUCCCAGAGCUUAACUCUGGAACUGCCAUCAAAACUUUUCAGCUAGAGUUUGAUAGAGGAAAGCAGAAUUUCUAGUGUAGAGGUGAAAUUCGUAGAUAUUAGAAAGAAUACCAAUUGCGAAGGCAGCUUUCUGGAUCAUUACUGACACUGAGGAACGAAAGCAUGGGUAGCGAAGAGGAUUAGAUACCCUCGUAGUCCAUGCCGUAAACGAUGUGUGUUAGACGUUGGAAAUUUAUUUUCAGUGUCGCAGCGAAAGCGAUAAACACACCGCCUGGGGAGUACGACCGCAAGGUUAAAACUCAAAUGAAUUGACGGGACCCGCACAAGUAGUGUAGCAUGUGGUUUAAUUCGAAGAUACGCG
rnacentral:rRNA from 1 species